UGUGUUUUUUGUAUACUUCACAGGUUUCAGCGUUUUCAACAUGGGAAAAAGAGUUACACAAAAUAGUGUUUGACCCACGAUACCUUCUGCUAAAUUCAGAGGAACGUAAGCAGAUAUUUGAACAGUUUGUCAAGACCAGGAUAAGAGAAGAGUACAAAGAAAAGAAGAACAAAUUGUUGUUAGCCAAAGAAGAAUUUAAAAAGCUCCUCGAAGAAUCCAAGCUAUCACCAAGAACGACAUUCAAAGAGUUUGCAGAGAAAUAUGGCAGGGAUCAGAGGUUCCGCCUGGUUCAGAAGAAGAAGGACCAAGAGCAUUUUUUCAAUCAGUUCAUACUUAUCCUUAAAAAGAGAGACAAAGAAAACAGGAUAAGGCUACGGAAAAUGAGAUAAAACUGCUUGGAGCUGGCAGUGAGUGCAGAAGCUAAAGCUGGGACUGCAGGAAGGACCCCAAGUGAUGGUGAAAGCAAAGGCUGACCUCGCAGCAGCUGAAGGACGGAGUGCAUAUCCCUGAGAAAAACUUUCUCUGAAUGGUGUUUGUUGAACACACGGAGCAUUUGUGAAGGUUGUUCUGCAGGAAUCUGAAGGAUAUUUGUUCCCAAGGAAUUAAUGUUUCAUAUUGAAGCUCUCUUUUGUACAACAUCCAGAGUUUGAUGCAUUUCUAAUUGCCGUGAUAUGUCAAUCCCUUAAUUGUUUUAAUUAUGCAAAUUACUUGUAAUACACACAAAUUAUGAAUCCGGCGCAGAUUUGUAAUUAAGCAGAAACAGAUGCCAUCCAUAACAAUCUCAAGAUAUUUUGAUCAUUUCGAGGAAUUAUCUAUCGCAAUCUUUUGGCAACUUUCUGCAUUAGCACAAAUUGUUCGGAGGUGCAGCGGGAUGCAGGGGUUCAUUGCCGCGUUCACAUGUCUGUGUCCAGUUCUCUGAGUAGUACUAUUAAAUAUUAAUUGUUAAUCUUAGUGAAGAGUGUGAAAACCCUGGCCAGUGUUCCAUAGGAAACUCUCCUUUCCAGAAAUAGCUUUCCUGAUCCCAUGGGUGGUGCUUUGGGCUGAUAGCAGCACUGCUCUGUCGGAGUUCCGUAAAGGCGUUCUUUUGUACAACCAUCGCGGUCUGAGUUGCGUUCCUGUAUGUGGAAAGUCUGCAUGAGAUUUUUCUCAUCAUCUUUGUAUAAAUUAAAUAU